rnacentral:rRNA from 1 species
UACGUAGGGGGCAAGCGUUGUCCGGAGUUACUGGCGUAAGCGCACGCAGGCGGUCUUUAAGUUUGGAGUGACAGUUGGUGGCUUAACUGCCAAAGUGCUUCGAAACUGACAGACUUGAGGGCUUCAGAGGGACACGGAAUCCGGGUGGAGUGGUGAAAUGCGUAGAGAUCCGGAGGAACACCAAAGGCGAAGGCAGUGUCCUGGGGAGUACCUGACGCUCAGGUGCGAAAGCCAGGGGAGCGAACGGG